GCACCUUCACCAGCAAAAAAGCUAACUUCUCCGACCGAACACAUGACUUAUGCCCUAUGAUGACUAUUAAAUCAACCAAUAGCUGAAGAAAUCCACUUUCCUUUUUUAUAAAGUUUUCUUUCUCUCUAGUUAAUAAUGAACAACUUUACUUCAGGAAAGGAUUUUGUUAUUGUAAGUAGAGGAGAGACACAAAAGUAAUGAAGUAACAUUAAUUGAGACUUACUGUGACAACACAAGAUUGUCAUAUUCAACUCUCCCAAUAGCUCUACAAGCUUCAUGCCUGUGACUUCAUAAUCUCAAGAGGAACCAACUCAAAAAAUUCGACAUUCCAGAUCUUCAGAUGCAAGAACCUAAGUGUAAACCAAGUAUUCUGAGAAUUAAAAUCCUGACACUUACAGAUA